GUGUUUGUUCUCUUUUCCACUAGCAGACACAGACCUCUGCAUUGUCUCAUCGUUUCACUCUUUCCAGAAUCGCAUGUAGUUGUGAUAAUACGGUACAUGGGUGAUGCUUUGAUGUGCUUAUGCAUUGUGAAAUGAGGAGUACCAAGCUAAUUUACAUCUUCACACCCUCUCACCCUUCAGCAGAUUCAAUGAGUUUUCUGCUUGGAGACAGCAAAGCCAGCAAGCAGAAGAAGGAGAUAAAGGAAUAAAGGAAGUUUAUCACUCGCAGCAACAAAAGACAGCACCAGAGAUGCCUCCCAGGGCUGUGUCUCUCCGCGUGGAGGAAGCGAGAGGAUGCUAUUGAGGGGGCUCAUCCACAGCCAGGUGGGAGAGACU